rnacentral:rRNA from 1 species
AACGAACGCUGGCGGCGUGGCUAAGGCAUGCAAGUCGAACGGAUCUAUCCAACGGGUAACUGAAGGGUAGAUUAGUGGCGAACGGGUGAGGAAUACAUGGACAACGUACCCUGGACACGGGAUAGCGGCGGGCCGCAAGGCUCUUUAGCGAAAGUGCCGGUAAUACCCGAUGAUCCCGCAUGGUCGCAUGAUCGUGUGGGCAAAGCUCCGACGGUCUGGGAUCGGCAUGCCCUAUCAGCUAGUUGGUGAGGUAACGGCUCACCAAGGCGGCGACGGGUACCGGCGUGAGAGCGUGACCCGGCACAUCGGAACUGA